CAAUAGCGUAUAUUAAAGUUGUUGCAGUUAAAAAGCUCGUAGUUGGAUUUCGGGGUGGCCUGCCUGGUCCACCGCAAGGUGAGUACUGGUCAGCCGCCCUUCCUCUCGAAAGCCCCGACUGCUCUUCAUUGCAGUGGUCGGGUAGUUCGGGACGUUUACUUUGAAAAAAUUAGAGUGUUCAAGGCAGGCUCUCGCCUGAAUACAUUAGCAUGGAAUAAUGGAAGAGGACCUCGGUCCUAUUUUGUUGGUUUCUAGGGCCGAAGUAAUGAUUAAGAGGGACAGUUGGGGGCAUUCGUAUUUAAUUGUCAGAGGUGAAAUUCUUGGAUUUAUGGAAGACGAACUAGUGCGAAAGCAUUUGCCAAGGAUGUUUUCAUUAA
rnacentral:rRNA from 1 species